rnacentral:rRNA from 1 species
UACGUAGGGCGCAAGCGUUGUCCGGAAUUAUUGGGCGUAAAGAGCUCGUAGGUGGCUUGUCGCGUCUGCCGUGAAAGCCCAUGGCUUAACUGUGGGUCUGCGGUGGAUACGGGCUGGCUAGAGGUAGGUAGGGGCAAGCGGAAUUCCUGGUGUAGCGGUGAAAUGCGCAGAUAUCAGGAGGAACACCAGUGGCGAAGGCGGCUUUCUGGCCUGCUCUUGACGCUGAGGCGCGAAAGCUAGGGUAGCAAACGGG